GACGAACGCUGGCGGCGUGCUUAACACAUGCCAGUCGAACGGAAAGGCCCUGCUUUUGUGGUGUGCUCGAGUGGCGAACGGGUGAGUAACACGUGAGUAACCUGCCCUUGACUUUGGGAUAACUUCAGGAAACUGGGGCUAAUACCGGAUAGGAGCUCCUGCUGCAUGGUGGGGGUUGGAAAGUUUCGGCGGUUGGGGAUGGACUCGCGGCUUAUCAGCUUGUUGGUGGGGAAGUGGCUUACCAAGGCUUUGACGGGUAGCCGGCCUGAGAGGGUGACCGGCCACAUUGGGACUGAGAUACGGCCCAGACUCCUACGGGAGGCAGCAGUGGGGAAUAUUGCACAAUGGGCGGAAGCCUGAUGCAGCAACGCCGCGUGCGGGAUGACGGCCUUCGGGUUGUAAACCGCUUUCGCCUGUGACGAAGCGUGAGUGACGGUAAUGGGUAAAGAAGCACCGGCUAACUACGUG
rnacentral:rRNA from 1 species